rnacentral:rRNA from 1 species
UACGGAGGGUGCAAGCGUUAUCCGGAUUCACUGGGUUUAAAGGGUGCGUAGGUGGGUCUGUAAGUCAGUGGUGAAAUCUCUGAGCUUAACUUGGAAACUGCCAUUGAUACUAUAGCUCUUGAAUAUUGUGGAGGUCAGCGGAAUAUGUCAUGUAGCGGUGAAAUGCUUAGAUAUGACAUAGAACACCAAUUGCGAAGGCAGCUGGCUACGCAUAUAUUGACACUGAGGCACGAAAGCGUGGGGAUCAAACAGG